UACGUAGGGACCAAGCGUUGUCCGGAAUCACUGGGCGUAAAGGGCGCGUAGGCGGAUCUUUAAGUCGGGGGUAAAAGCCUGAGGCUCAACCUCAGAAUUGCCUUCGAUACUGGAGAUCUUGAGACCGGAAGAGGUGAGUGGAACUGCGAGUGUAGAGGUGAAAUUCGUAGAUAUUCGCAAGAACACCAGUGGCGAAGGCGGCUCACUGGUCCGGUUCUGACGCUGAGGCGCGAAAGCGUGGGGAGCAAACAGG
rnacentral:rRNA from 1 species